UACGUAGGGCGCAAGCGUUAUCCGGAAUUAUUGGGCGUAAAGAGCUCGUAGGCGGUUUGUCGCGUCUGCCGUGAAAGUCCGGGGCUCAACUCCGGAUCUGCGGUGGGUACGGGCAGACUAGAGUGAUGUAGGGGAGACUGGAAUUCCUGGUGUAGCGGUGAAAUGCGCAGAUAUCAGGAGGAACACCGAUGGCGAAGGCGGGUCUCUGGGCCGUAACUGACGCUGAGGAGCGAAAGCGUGGGGAGCGAACAGG
rnacentral:rRNA from 1 species